UACGAAGGGGGCUAGCGUUGCUCGGAAUCACUGGGCGUAAAGCGCACGUAGGCGGCUUGUUAAGUCAGGGGUGAAAUCCUGGAGCUCGACUCCAGAACUGCCUUUGAUACUGGCGAGCUUGAGUCCGGGAGAGGUGAGUGGAACUGCGAGUGUAGAGGUGAAAUUCGUAGAUAUUCGCAAGAACACCAGUGGCGAAGGCGGCUCACUGGCCCGGUACUGACGCUGAGGUGCGAAAGCGUGGGGAGCAAACAGG
rnacentral:rRNA from 1 species